CAGUCGCCGCGGUAAAACGAAGGGUGCAAGCGUUACUCGGAAUUACUGGGCGUAAAGCGUGCGUAGGUGGUGGUUUAAGUCCGUUGUGAAAGCCCUGGGCUCAACCUGGGAAUUGCAGUGGAUACUGGGUCACUAGAGUGUGGUAGAGGAUAGCGGAAUUUCCGGUGUAGCAGUGAAAUGCGUAGAGAUCGGAAGGAACAUCUGUGGCGAAGGCGACUAUCUGGGCCAACACUGACACUGAGGCACGAAAGCGUGGGGAGCAAACAGGAUUAGAUACCCCUGUAGUCCCUGUCUCUUAUAC
rnacentral:rRNA from 1 species